rnacentral:rRNA from 1 species
AGGACGAACGCUGGCGGCGUGCUUAACACAUGCAAGUCGAGCGGAAAGGCCCUUCGGGGUACUCGAGCGGCGAACGGGUGAGUAACACGUGAGUAAUCUGCCCCUAGCUCUGGGAUAGCUCCGGGAAACCGGGAUUAAUACCGGAUACGACCACUUUAGACAUCUGUUGUGGUGGAAAGAAUUUUGGCUAGGGAUGAGCUCGCGGCCUAUCAGCUUGUUGGUGGGUAACGCCUACCAAGGCGACGACGGGUA